GAGGGUAUAGCUCAGUGGUAGAGUGCACGAGGUCCUGGGUUCAAUCCCCAGUACCUCCA
rnacentral:tRNA from 1 species